rnacentral:rRNA from 1 species
GAUGAACGCUGGCGGCGUGCCUAAUACAUGCAAGUCGAGCGAACAGACGAGGAGCUUGCUCCUCUGACGUUAGCGGCGGACGGGUGAGUAACACGUGGAUAACCUACCUAUAAGACUGGGAUAACUUCGGGAAACCGGAGCUAAUACCGGAUAAUAUAUUGAACCGCAUGGUUCAAUAGUGAAAGACGGUUUUGCUGUCACUUAUAGAUGGAUCCGCGCCGCAUUAGCUAGUUGGUAAGGUAACGGCUUACCAAGGCGACGAUGCGUAGCCGACCUGAGAGGGUGAUCGGCCACACUGGAACUGAGACACGGUCCAGACUCCUACGGGAGGCAGCAGUAGGGAAUCUUCCGCAAUGGGCGAAAGCUUGACGGAGCAACGCCGCGCGAGUGAUGAAGGUCUUCGGAUCGUAAAACUCUGUUAUUAGGGAAGAACAAAUGUGUAAGUAACUAUGCACGUCUUGACGGUACCUAAUCAGAAAGCCACGGCUAACUACGUG